AAGGUGUACUGUGAGGUAUGCUGGAGGUAUCAGAAGUGCGAAUGCUGACAUAAGUAACGAUAAAGCGGGUGAAAAGCCCGCUCGCCGGAAGACCAAGGGUUCCUGUCCAACGUUAAUCGGGGCAGGGUGAGUCGACCCCUAAGGCGAGGCCGAAAGGCGUAGUCGAUGGGAAACAGGUUAAUAUUCCUGUACUUGGUGUUACUGCGAAGGGGGGACGGAGAAGGCUAUGUUGGCCGGGCGACGGUUGUCCCGGUUUAAGCGUGUAGGCUGGUUUUCCAGGCAAAUCCGGAAAAUCAAGGCUGAGGCGUGAUGACGAGGCACUACGGUGCUGAAGCAACAAAUGCCCUGCUUCCAGGAAAAGCCUCUAAGCAUCAGGUAACAUCAAAUCGUACCCCAAACCGACACAGGUGGUCAGGUAGAGAAUACCAAGGCGCUUGAGAGAACUCGGGUGAAGGAACUAGGCAAAAUGGUGCCGUAACUUCGGGAGAAGGCACGCUGAUAUGUAGGUGAAGUCCCUCGCGGAUGGAGCUGAAAUCAGUCGAAGAUACCAGCUGGCUGCAACUGUUUAUUAAAAACACAGCACUGUGCAAACACGAAAGUGGACGUAUACGGUGUGACGCCUGCCCGGUGC
rnacentral:rRNA from 1 species